GAUGAACGCUGGCGGCGUGCCUAAUACAUGCAAGUCGAGCGAACAGAUAAGGAGCUUGCUCCUUUGACGUUAGCGGCGGACGGGUGAGUAACACGUGGGUAACCUACCUAUAAGACUGGAAUAACUCCGGGAAACCGGGGCUAAUGCCGGAUAACAUUUAGAACCGCAUGGUUCUAAAGUGAACGAUGGUUUUGCUAUCACUUAUAGAUGGACCCGCGCCGUAUUAGCUAGUUGGUAAGGUAACGGCUUACCAAGGCAACGAUACGUAGCCGACCUGAGAGGGUGGUCGCCCACACUGGAACUUGGACACGGUCCAGACUCCUACGGGACGCAGCAGUAGGGAAUCUUCCGCAGUGGGCGAAAGCCUGACGGAGCAACGGCGCGUGAGUGAUGACGGUCUUCGGAUCGUAAAACUCUGUUAUUAGGGAAAAACAACUGUGUACGUAACUGUGCACUUCUUGACGGUACCUAAUCAGAAAGCCACGGCUAACUACGUG
rnacentral:rRNA from 1 species